UACAGAGGUCCCAAGCGUUGUUCGGAUUCAUUGGGCGUAAAGGGUGCGUAGGCGGCGCGGUAAGUCGGGUGUGAAAUCUCGGAGCUUAACUCCGAAACUGCAUUCGAUACUGCCGUGCUUGAGGACUGGAGAGGAGACUGGAAUUUACGGUGUAGCGGUGAAAUGCGUAGAUAUCGUAAGGAAGACCAGUGGCGAAGGCGGGUCUCUGGACAGUUCCUGACGCUGAGGCACGAAGGCCAGGGGGAGCAAACGGG
rnacentral:rRNA from 1 species